rnacentral:rRNA from 1 species
AAUCAACGCUGGCGGCGUGCCUCAGACAUGCAAGUCGAACGAUUAAAGCUCUCUUCGGAGAGUGCAUAGAGUGGCGCACGGGUGAGUAACACGUAAGUAAUCUACCUUCGAGUGGGGAAUAACGUCCGGAAACGGACGCUAAUACCGCAUAAUGCAGCGGCAUCGCAAGAUGACAGUUGUUAAAGAUUUAUCGCUUGAAGAGGAGCUUGCGGCAGAUUAGCUAGUUGGUAAGGUAAUGGCUUACCAAGGCUACGAUCUGUAACCGGUCUAAGAGGACGGUCGGUCACACUGACACUGAAUAACGGGUCAGACUCCUACGGGAGGCAGCAGUCGGGAAUUUUGGGCAAUGGGCGAAAGCCUGACCCAGCAACGCCGCGUGAAGGAUGAAGUAUUUCGGUAUGUAAACUUCGAAAGAAUGGGAAGAAUAAAUGACGGUACCAUUUAUAAGGUCCGGCUAACUACGUGCCAGCAGCCG